GGAUCCCUGGACUAUGGCUAGCACAAGCCCCACUGGGUUAGAAUCUUGUCCUCCCACUAGGACCUCUCUGUGGGACAGAGCAGCAAUAUGGUGAGAGGUUUCAAGGCUGUCUAAUCCUGCUGUGCUGUGUAUUGCCUUGUUGCAGGGGAGAGACUGUGCUGGACUAUCAAGGGGCAAACUUUUCCACUUAUUUGCCCCCUGCCUCGGAGCUGUUCCCUAAGGCUUUUCUCUCUCUGACAUUUGUGUGGGGACUGCCCUAUGCCUUCUGUAAAGGGAACUGCUUCCCACUACUACCUGGUUAGUACAAGGAGAGAAAGCUGGAGCAGGGGGCAGAGGCAGCAUUACUACUGUUGAACGAUGUGGGAACCAAAGAGCUGCUCGGAGGACUGCAGAACCAAAGCAGAUUCCUCCUGAAGAAGAAACUUGAGUUCUGAAAUGUGUUGGACUACAACAAAAGUUGGCACUCUUUUGAGAACUAGUCUGUCCUCUUUGAAUUCUGUCUAUGGGUAUGGUAUACUGACUGAACGUAGGAUGUUUCUUACAUAGAGGCAGACCAUUGGUCCAUCUAGGUCAGAAGUGUCUGGAUCCCAAACUCUUUUCCCCAUGGACCACUUGAAAAUUUAUGAAAGUCUUGGCGGACCACUUAAUUAUUUCUUCUCCCUGUUGUAGCCAUUAUAAUGCACUUUGCUAGAUGUUGUAUGAUUUUUAAUUGUAUUUUUGUUUCUUAUAUAUUGUAUUUUACAAUGUGCAUUCCAUAGAAUUCAAACUGUAAUACAAUAACAUACAAUAGAAGAAAUAAAAGGAGUAAAAUAUAAUUAAAAAUAAAUUCACUAAUAGGCAAAAAACCCUUGAGGUUUAAGAACGUACAGUAUGUAUAGCCAACAGAUAUUUCUAUCAAACUUUAAAAAGCAGGGAAUUGGGCAGCUAUAGUGAAUGCACCAGGGGAGCAGGAGACCUGACCUCUCUGAGAUAUUUGACUGCCCUACAAAUUUGUAAAAACGCAAACACAAUUUGGGUUGGUCUUUCACAGUCCAAUCCAUUUCCUGUGUAGAUUGGAAGAAUUUGGUAACAUGUGUCUCUGAGCACAUGGUGAGUGGUGGCAACACCUGCAAUCAGCCCAAAUAACAGAAACAAGACGUGCUAUGCUCAGGGCCAGCACCAGAGGGUUGCCAGGUUUGACCCUGGCCAAGGGCUCCUGCAGCCCAGAGGGGGCCCUUCAGGGGUCCACCUUAGGAUGGGAGAGUAGUGCACUUGUUCCACAAUUUGUGGCAGUGUUGGCUCCCAACCCUGCCACAGAUCGCAGAGAAGGAGCACCCAGGCACCCUCCCAAUACAAUCAGUUUGGGCUUCCAUAAGACUGUCCGCAUGCCCCACUUAUCUUCCCCAUCCCUGUGAAUGAUGUGUGUGCUUUGCGCACAUGCCUGCCAUAAACCAAGAUGAUGGCAGAGGCUUCCUUUAGAGGCUGAUGCUCCUGCUGCCAUCUUGAUUGAUGGUAGGUAUGUGCAUGCCAUGCAUAUAUCAUUCACAGGAACAGGAGAGGUAGGUAGGACAUGCAGGCAAACUUAUUAGGCUUAUCCAUGCCAGCUGUUUGGAGGGGGUUAGGCUAUGGCGUUGCAGGCCUGAGGCAGGCUGUGCCCAAGGGCCCAGUCAUGCCUGUUACCAGCCCUGGCUGUGCUGAUCUUGUUUUAGCAGGGAGGAAGCAACAAUAUUAAGACAGUUGGUAUAGUUCAGAUACUUCAGUUACUUGUUCCCCAUUUCAUCUAUCUUGUUUCGUCUAUGGAUUUCAGUCAGGCUAUCAGACUACAAAGUGAGUAUUAGUAAGGAUAGGCAAGCUUUUGUUAUUUUCCUUUUGUCUGUUUUGAAUCCCUCACAGUGUUAUUUAAAUGUAUCUCUUACUCAGUACAGUUGUAAUUAUUGUCU